GGGGGUAGCUCAGUGGUAGAGCAUGUUCUUAGCAGGCACGAGGUCCUGGGUUCAAUCCCCAGUACCUCCA
rnacentral:tRNA from 1 species